rnacentral:rRNA from 1 species
UACGGGGGGGGUAAGCGUUGUUCGGAAUUACUGGGCGUAAAGGGCUCGUAGGCGGCCAACUAAGUCAUACGUGAAAUCCCUCAGCUUAACUGGGGAACUGCGUGUGAUACUGGAUGGCUUGGAUUUGGGAGAGGGAUGCGGAAUUCCAGGUGUAGCGGUGAAAUGCGUAGAUAUCUGGAGGAACACCGGUGGCGAAGGCGGCAUCCUGGACAACUCCUGACACUGAGGCACGAAAGCUAGGGGAGCAAACAGG